AACGAACGCUGGCGGCAUGCCUAACACAUGCAAGUCGAACGAGACCUUCGGGUCUAGUGGCGCACGGGUGCGUAACGCGUGGGAACCUGCCCUUAGGUUCGGAAUAACUCCCCGAAAGGGGUGCUAAUACCGGAUAAUGUCUUUGGACCAAAGAUUUAUCGCCUUUGGAUGGGCCCGCGUUGGAUUAGCUAGUUGGUAGGGUAAAAGCCUACCAAGGCGACGAUCCAUAGCUGGUCUGAGAGGAUGAUCAGCCACACUGGGACUGAGACACGGCCCAGACUCCUACGGGAGGCAGCAGUGGGGAAUAUUGGACAAUGGGCGAAAGCCUGAUCCAGCAAUGCUGCGUGAGUGAUGAAGGCCUUAGGGUUGUAAAGCUCUUUUACCCGGGAUGAUAAUGACAGUACCGGGAGAAUAAGCGCCGGCUAACUCCGUG
rnacentral:rRNA from 1 species